GGGUCCGGCAUAACCCCGGGAAAUGGGGAUAAUUCCGGAUAACGCACAUAUGCUGGAAUGCUUUAUGCGUAAAAUGGAUUCGUCUGCCCAAGGAUGGAUCUGCGGCCUAUCAGGUAGUAGUGGGUGUAAUGUACCUACUAGCCAACAACGGGUACGGGUUGUGAGAGCAAGAGCCCGGAGAUGGAUUCUGAGACAUGAAUCCAGGCCCUACGGGGCGCAGCAGGCGCGAAAACUUUACAAUGCGGGAAACCGUGAUAAGGGGACACCGAGUGCCAGCAUCAUAUGCUGGCUGUCCGGGUGUGUAAAAUACACCCGUUAGCAAGGGCCGGGCAAGACCGGUGCCAGCCGCCGCGGUAACACCGGCGGCCCGAGUGGUGAUCGUGAUUAUUGGGUCUAAAGGGUCCGUAGCCGGUUUGGUCAGUCCUCCGGGAAAUCUGACGGCUCAACCGUUAGGCUUUCGGGGGAUACUGCCAGGCUUGGAACCGGGAGAGGUAAGAGGUACUACAGGGGUAGGAGUGAAAUCUUGUAAUCCCUGUGAGACCACCUGUGGCGAAGGCGUCUUACCAGAACGGGUUCGACGGUGAGGGACGAAAGCUGGGGGCACGAACCGGAUUAGAUACCCGGGUAGUCCCAGCCGUAAACGAUGCUCGCUAGGUGUCAGGCAUGGCGCGACCGUGUCUGGUGCCGCAGGGAAGCCGUGAAGCGAGCCACCUGGAAUAAGGCCGCAAGGCUGAA
rnacentral:rRNA from 1 species